ACGAAGUGAGUGGCGAACGGGUGAGUAACACGUGGGUAACCUGCCCAGAAGUAGGGGAUAACACCUGGAAACAGAUGCUAAUACCGUAUAACAGAGAAAACCGCAUGGUUUUCUUUUAAAAGAUGGCUCUGCUAUCACUUCUGGAUGGACCCGCGGCGUAUUAGCUAGUUGGUGAAGUAAAGGCUCACCAAGGCAGUGAUACGUAGCCGACCUGAGAGGGUAAUCGGCCACAUUGGGACUGAGACACGGCCCAGACUCCUACGGGAGGCAGCAGUAGGGAAUCUUCCACAAUGGACGCAAGUCUGAUGGAGCAACGCCGCGUGAGUGAAGAAGGGUUUCGGCUCGUAAAGCUCUGUUGUUAAAGAAGAACGUGGGUAAGAGUAACUGUUUACCCAGUGACGGUAUUUAACCAGAAAGCCACGGCUAACUACGUGCCAGCAGCCGCGGUAAUACGUAGGUGGCAAGCGUUAUCCGGAUUUAUUGGGCGUAAAGCGAGCGCAGGCGGUCUUUUAAGUCUAAUGUGAAAGCCUUCGGCUCAACCGAAGAAGUGCAUUGGAAACUGGGAGACUUGAGUGCAGAAGAGGACAGUGGAACUCCAUGUGUAGCGGUGAAAUGCGUAGAUAUAUGGAAGAACACCAGUGGCGAAGGCGGCUGUCUGGUCUGCAACUGACGCUGAGGCUCGAAAGCAUGGGUAGCGAACAGGAUUAGAUACCCUGGUAGUCCAUGCCGUAAACGAUGAUUACUAAGUGUUGGAGGGUUUCCGCCCUUCAGUGCUGCAGCUAACGCAUUAAGUAAUCCGCCUGGGGAGUACGACCGCAAGGUUGAAACUCAAAAGAAUUGACGGGGGCCCGCACAAGCGGUGGAGCAUGUGGUUUAAUUCGAAGCUACGCGAAGAACCUUACCAGGUCUUGACAUCUUCUGACAGUCUAAGAGAUUAGAGGUUCCCUUCGGGGACAGAAUGACAGGUGGUGCAUGGUUGUCGUCAGCUCGUGUCGUGAGAUGUUGGGUUAAGUCCCGCAACGAGCGCAACCCUUAUUACUAGUUGCCAGCAUUAAGUUGGGCACUCUAGUGAGACUGCCGGUGACAAACCGGAGGAAGGUGGGGACGACGUCAAAUCAUCAUGCCCCUUAUGACCUGGGCUACACACGUGCUACAAUGGAUGGUACAACGAGUCGCGAGACCGCGAGGUUAAGCUAAUCUCUUAAAACCAUUCUCAGUUCGGACUGUAGGCUGCAACUCGCCUACACGAAGUCGGAAUCGCUAGUAAUCGCGGAUCAGCAUGCCGCGGUGAAUACGUUCCCGGGCCUUGUACACACCGCCCGUCACACCAUGAGAGUUUGUAACACCCAAAGCCGGUG
rnacentral:rRNA from 1 species